UGGGGAAUAUUGGACAAUGGGCGAAAGCCUGAUCCAGCCAUGCCGCGUGUGUGAAGAAGGUCUUCGGAUUGUAAAGCACUUUAAGUUGGGAGGAAGGGCAGUAAGCGAAUACCUUGCUGUUUUGACGUUACCGACAGAAUAAGCACCGGCUAACUCUGUGCCAGCAGCCGCGGUAAUACAGAGGGUGCAAGCGUUAAUCGGAAUUACUGGGCGUAAAGCGCGCGUAGGUGGUUCGUUAAGUUGAAUGUGAAAGCCCCGGGCUCAACCUGGGAACAGCAUCCAAAACUGGCGAGCUAGAGUAGGGCAGAGGGUGGUAGAAUUUCCUGUGUAGCGGUGAAAUGCGUAGAUAUAGGAAGGAACACCAGUGGCGAAGGCGACCACCUGGGAUCAUACUGACACUGAGGUGCGAAAGCGUGGGGAGCAAACAGG
rnacentral:rRNA from 1 species